UGGGGAAUUUUGGACAAUGGGCGCAAGCCUGAUCCAGCCAUGCCGCGUGCAGGAUGAAGGCCUUCGGGUUGUAAACUGCUUUUGUACGGAACGAAAAGACUCUGGUUAAUACCUGGGGUCCAUGACGGUACCGUAAGAAUAAGCACCGGCUAACUACGUGCCAGCAGCCGCGGUAAUACGUAGGGUGCGAGCGUUAAUCGGAAUUACUGGGCGUAAAGCGUGCGCAGGCGGUUAUAUAAGACAGAUGUGAAAUCCCCGGGCUCAACCUGGGAACUGCAUUUGUGACUGUAUAGCUAGAGUACGGCAGAGGGGGAUGGAAUUCCGCGUGUAGCAGUGAAAUGCGUAGAUAUGCGGAGGAACACCGAUGGCGAAGGCAAUCCCCUGGGCCUGUACUGACGCUCAUGCACGAAAGCGUGGGGAGCAAACAGGAUUAGAUACCCCUGUAGUCCCUGAGCGGGCUGGCAAGGCGCAU
rnacentral:rRNA from 1 species